rnacentral:misc_RNA from 1 species
AAAAAUGUUUGGUCUCGUGCCAAAUCAACAUUUGUGUGCACCAUUGUCUGUCUUUGGUAGUUCGAGUUGCCCUCGAGGUUCAACGCCUCGAGUGGCCUACCCCUUGGGGUUGGGCUACCGCCAUUUUUUGAUAAACAUUUUUGUUUUUUCUUUCUUGUCUGAACGAAGAGUUAAUCUUUAUUGAUUAAUGAUUUGAAUA